rnacentral:rRNA from 1 species
UACGUAGGGUGCGAGCGUUAAUCGGAAUUACUGGGCGUAAAGUGUGCGCAGGCGGCCGCGCAAGUCGAGUGUGAAAGCCCCGGGCUUAACUUGGGAAUUGCGCUCGAAACUACGUGGCUGGAGUGUGGCAGAGGAAGGUGGAAUUCCAGGUGUAGCGGUGAAAUGCGUAGAGAUCUGGAGGAACACCGAUGGCGAAGGCAGCCUUCUGGGCCAACACUGACGCUCAUGCACGAAAGCUAGGGGAGCGAACGGG